GCUAUGGCUCCAUCUGCCGGUGGAGUUAGGAACCCCACCCCGAAACUCCGAGCAUCCCCCUCACACCUGAAACUCAUCAGGGUAUGACGACCUGAAGGCCUUCAAAAGGGCGGGAGACACACCAUUGAGGGGAGAGACGGACAUUGGCAGGGUGUGGAAAAUGUUCCAGAAGAUGGCGGGUAAAGGAGGAUAUGUGGAAAUACCAGUGUUGGGGGUGGGGGAUGCAAUUGCUAUGACGGGUAAGAAAAAGGCGGAUGCGUUGGGGGUAGCAUUUGCGAUGGUUCACAGUGGCGAGCACCUAUGUGAGGAGAGCAAGAGGAGGAGCUGUGAGAUGUGUUGCAUAAGAAGGCAGGGACGGAGGAGGUGAUGGAUGCGGAAUUCACUAAGUUUGAGCUGACAAGGGCACUGGUGGGAUGCAGGCGUUCGGCACCGGGAGAAGAUAGGGUAUGCUAUGAGAUGGUGAAGAAGGCCCCUGAUAAUGUAAUGGAAGCUAUAGUAGGGCUGUUUAACAAGGUGUGGAGGACUGGGGUGCUGCCAGACGGGUGGAAACAGGCGGUAGUACUGCCGUUGGCUAAACCGGGUAAAGAUCCAGGGAAGGUGGAUAGCUAUAGACCAAUAGCUUUGACCUCAAACUUAUGUAAACUGAUGGAAAAGAUGAUCGUGAAAAGAUUGAUAUUCUACCUGGAAAGUAAGGGAUUGAUGAGUGAAGCACAGAGUGGGUUCAGGAGAGUAAGGUCUACUAUGGAUGCACUGGUGGUGACCUUGUACUCAACCCUGCGUGAGACAGGAAGCCAGUGGAGUGAUUUGAGGAUGGGGGUGAUGUGCUCAUGUUUGCGCACCCUCAACAGGAUCCUAGGAGCGCUGUUCUGUAUAUACUUUUUAACCUGGUGUCCUCUCACUACUUUAACUACCCCGGUGAGAGCGGCGGCGCCUCUCGUGACAUCACAUAUGGUGGAGGAUGCAGGUUCAAGCGGAAUUAGUGCAUGUCAGAGGAGGACACCGAAAGUUUGAUUCGACACUUUUCCAGAUUGACCGUGGGCCCCCCAAUUAACAAAAUGGAAGAAAUUUUGAAAACCCUUAUUGCUGGCCAGCAAUCCCAGAUGCAAACCAAUUUGGCUCUCUUGGAAGAACAAAAGAAAGCCAACCUUCUGAAGGCGGAGGAAUUACAGUUGCAGAAACAGAUGGCCAACUGGAAUGUACACCCAAUAAAGACCCAGAGGACUGCUGGACAUUACGAAGGAAGCCUGGGAGGAGCAGCCAUGCCAACAGCGGACCCUGAUCGAGCAUGUCGGGGCCAUGAGGGCGAGAAUGAAGGCCAUCUAUCCCAUGAUCCAGGGAGACACGGCAACAGCAAGCCACCUACAACCGGUCGGCGCAACCCAGAGUGUUUUAGCCGGGCGACAAAGUGCUGGUCCUGGUGCCAACCACAGAGUGUAAAUUACUGGCUACUUGGCAAGGACCAUAUGAGGUCAUGGACGUGUGGGAGAAGUAAACUACAAGGUAAGGCAACCUGGAAAAAGAACCUGAGCAAAUUUAUCACGUUAACCUCUUAAAGAAGUGGCACGCCAUGGAGGUGCUGUUCAGCUGUCCAAGGAACCGGUGCGAGAAGAGGUGCAGGUGGGUCCCGGCCUGUCCCCCAUCAACGGCAGUUGGCCCGGGAACUGGUGGACCGUAACCCGGAUGUUUUCUCCUCUCUUCCCGGGCACACGGCGGUGACCCAGCACGAGAUACGCACCGUGCCGGGCAAAACGGUGAACCAGCACCGUACCGUGUGCCGGAGGCUCAUAAGGGGGCCAUUCAGGAGGAGGUAAGGAAGAUGUUGGAGCUGGGAGUGAUUGAGGAAUCCCAAAGCGCCUAUCCAAUGCCUCGUGUCGAUGAUCUGGUAGACUCCUUAGGAUAUGCUCGCUUCAUAACCACGGUCAACCUCACAAAAGGCUACUGGCAGGUGCCCCUGACCCCGGCAGUCUAAGGAGAAGACUGCCUUGGCCACACAGGAGGGGAACUACCAGUAUACCCGGCUCCCCUUUGAUCUCCACGGGGCACCGGCCACGUUCCAGUGCUUGAUGGUUCAGAGGUGGGUCUGGGUGUGGUACUCGCCCAGACACGUGAGGGGGAGGAACACCCUAUCCUCUACAUAAGCAGGAAGUUACUUCCAAGAGAACUAUUCCACGGUGGAAAAGGAAUGCUUCGCAGUUACCUGGGCCCUGGAAUCCCUAUGGUUCUACGUCCUGGGCCGACGGUUUACGGUGGUGUCGGAUCAUGCCCCUAUGCAGUGGAUGGCCAAGAACAAGGAAACAAACAAACCAUAUGAUUACUAGGUGGUUCUUGAGUUUACAAGCCUUUAACUUUUUUGUUGUCCACAGGGCUGGCAAGAGCCACAGCAACGCGGAUGCACUCUUCAGACGUGACUCCUUCUGCACCUCCUUCACCCAGUCUCGCGGGGGGGGAGGGAGGAGGUAGGGAGGAGGCUGGGUCUUUGAAGGGAGAUCCGUUCACCGGAGAGGGCUGUAACUGCUAUGGCUCCAUCUGCCGGUGGAGUUAGGAACCCCACCCCGAAACUCCGAGCAUCCCCCUCACACCUGAAACUCAUCGGGGUAUGACGACCUGAAGGCCUUCAUAAGGGGCGGGAGACACACCAUUGAGGGGAGAGAGACGAGCUGCAGGUUGGGCCCGCUGCAGAAGACCAGACCAAUGCAGGAGGAUUCCCGGGGGCAGGCCGUUGGAGAAGACGGUAUAUUGUCUUGAGGGAGGUGGAUUUACGAUUCCCCUCCAAAGACGAGGCAUUGUUUAAGUUUUACCGGCGAAGAGCGACCAAAGCCUGAGUUACCUGUUUUGACUACUGUUUUCUGUUUAAUCUGAAGGAUGUGAAUUAAACGUUUGUUUACAUAUUUGAA
ensembl:lncRNA